rnacentral:rRNA from 1 species
AUUGAACGCUGGCGGCAUGCCUUACACAUGCAAGUCGAACGGUAACGGGCCUUCGGGUGCCGACGAGUGGCGAACGGGUGAGUAAUGUAUCGGAAUGUACCUUUCAGUGGGGGAUAACGUAGCGAAAGUUACGCUAAUACCGCAUAUUCUGUGGGCAGGAAAGCAGGGGAUCGCAAGACCUUGCGCUGAUUGAGCGGCCGAUAUCAGAUUAGCUAGUUGGUGAGGUAAAGGCUCACCAAGGCGACGAUCUGUAGCGGGUCUGAGAGGAUGAUCCGCCACACUGGAACUGAGACACGGUCCAGACUCCUACGGGAGGCAGCAGUGGGGAAUUUUGGACAAUGGGGGCAACCCUGAUCCAGCCAUGCCGCGUGAGUGAAGAAGGCCUUCGGGUUGUAAAGCUCUUUCGGCCGGGAAGAAAUCGUAUCAGCUAAUACCUGGUGCGGAUGACGGUACCGGCAUAAGAAGCACCGGCUAACUACGUGCCAGCAGCCGCGGUAAAAC